GCUUCAGUAGCUUAAAUCGCUAAAGCAUCGGUCUUGUAAACCGAAGACUGAAGGUUAAACCCCCUCCUGAAGCU
rnacentral:tRNA from 1 species